rnacentral:rRNA from 1 species
CGCGAAUUUGAUCCUAGUUCAGGAUAAACGCUGGCGGCGUGCUUUAGACAUGCAAGUCGCACGGUCCCGAUGCGAAUCGGGAUAGUGGCGAACGGUUGAGUAACACGUGGGUAACCUGCCCCUAAGCGGGGGAUAACUCCGCGAAGGCGAAGCUAAUACCGCAUGUGGUCGCCCGGUGAAAACCCGGGCGACUAAAGUCGGACCAAACGGGAAGGUAACAGGUCGGUAGCCGGCCAGAAUCCUGGCUAACGAUUUGUUACCUUUCCGUUUGGAUGGGCGCUUAGGGAUGGGCCCGCGGCCCAUCAGGUUGUUGGUGAGGUAAUGGCCCACCAAGCCGAUGACGGGUAGCCGGUCUGAGAGGAUGAUCGGCCAGGCUGGGACUGAGACACGGCCCAGACUCCUACGGGAGGCAGCAGUCGGGAAU